rnacentral:piRNA from 1 species
UGUUCACCUUUCAGUAAGAUACCAGACA